GACGAACCGUGCGAACGUUGUUCGGAAUCACUGGGCUUAAAGGGCGCGUAGGCGGGCAUUCAAGUCAGGGGUGAAAUCCUCCAGCUUAACUGGAGAACUGCCUUUGAUACUGGGUGCCUCGAGUGAGGUAGGGGCGUGCGGAACUGAUGGUGGAGCGGUGAAAUGUGUAGAUAUCAAGAGGAACGCCGGAGGCGAAAGCGGGGCACUGGGCCAAAUCUGACGCUGAGACGCGAAAGCGUGGGGAUCAAACAGG
rnacentral:rRNA from 1 species